rnacentral:rRNA from 1 species
ACAUGCAGUCGAGGGGCAACACUUAGGGUGGCGACCGGCGCACGGGUGAGUAACACGUAUGCAACCUGCCUCAUACACUGGGAUAGCCUUCCGAAAGGGAGAUUAAUACCGGAUGUGACGUUUACCCCGCAUGGGGUGAAGAGUUAAAGAUUCAUUGGUAUGAGAUGGGCAUGCGCAGGAUUAGGUAGUUGGUAGGGUAAUAGCCUACCAAGCCGACGAUCCAUAGGGGAACUGAGAGGUUAAUCCCCCACACUGGUACUGAGACACGGACCAGACUCCUACGGGAGGCAGCAGUGAGGAAUAUUGGUCAAUGGUCGAGAGACUGAACCAGCCAAAUCGCGUGAAGGAAGACGGUAUUAUGUAUUGUAAACUUCUUUUGAGAGGGAAUAAAGUUCGGGAUGUAUCCUGUUUUGUAUGUACCUUUCGAAUAAGCAUCGGCUAACUCCGUGCCAGCAGCCGCGGUAAUACGGAGGAUGCAAGCGUUAUCCGGAUUUAUUGGGUUUAAAGGGUGCGUAGGUUGUUUGAUAAGUCAGCGGUGAAAUUUCACAGCUUAACUGGGAGACUGCCGUUGAAACUGUCAGACUUGAGUGUAAACGAGGCAGGCGGAAUUCGUAGUGUAGCGGUGAAAUGCAUAGAUAUUACGAAGAACUCCGAUAGCGCAGGCAGCUUGCCAGGCUACAACUGACACUGAAGCACGAAAGUGUGGGUAUCAAACAGGAUUAGAUACCCUGGUAGUCCACACAGUAAACGAUGAAUACUGACUGUUUGCGAUAUAAAGUAAGCGGUUAAGCGAAAGCGUUAAGUAUUCCACCUGGGGAGUACGCCGGCAACGGUGAAACUCAAGGAAUUGACGGGGGCCCGCACAAGCGGAGGAACAUGUGGUUUAAUUCGAUGAUACGCGAGAACCUUACUCGGGUUCGACGCUAUAGAUACGAUGAAAGUGUAGCAGCAUGCUGUAGUCGAGUGCUGCAUGUNUCGUCA